GCGAGAGUAGCUCAGUUGGUAGAGCGUCAGCCUUCCAAGCUGAAAGUCGCGGGUUCGAGACCCGUCUCUCGCUCCA
rnacentral:tRNA from 2 species